ensembl:lncRNA
AUCUGCAUUUGUUCGAUCCAGCCGCUAUUGAGACAUCCAGUCUGUGCUAGAUUCUGGGCGUAUGACAAGGAACAAAACAGAGAGGGAAUCCUGGCUUCAAGCAUGGGAGCCGACACUCUGUAGAGCUGAGCGUGUUGGUGUCCUGCCACUUAGCAGUUCCAUCCCUAGGUGUAUUCCCUAGAGAAACCCAUGCUCCUAUUCUCCAAAGAGAUGUGUAUACAAGAUGUUCACAGCAGAACUAUUGGUAAGAGCAACAAAACAAAGCCUGUGAAUAACCCGAAUGUCCACUAACAGGAGAACGGAUGGACCGACUGUGGGGUGUUCAUGUAAUUGAAAACUGUGAAGUGGUAAAAAUGAAAGCAUUACAACCGUAUGAGUCAACACAGAGAGCUCUUAGAAAUACCAUGCUGAGCAAGAAAAGCCAGUUGCAGAGGGACACCCAAGGCGUGGUACCCUCAUAAAGUUCCAAAGGAAGCCGAAUAUUACUUUAAAACAUACAGUUUUGGUAAACUCUAGAGAACAGUGAGGAUCUGAGGGAAAAAGUUUGAGAUUGUGGGUCAAGGGAGCAGGAAGGUGGAAUUCACAAGGAGCCUGCAGCCUGNCGUGAGUGGUCCUGUUUCGUGUUUUAAGUUGGAAGGUGGUUCACAGAUGUUCAUUUAUUAUGUUUCGUAUCGUACAGGAUAUGAUUUCUGCAUAUCGCAUAACUCACAUGUACUGUUUAAUAACAUCUUAAGCCUUGAAGAAGGAAGAGAAGGAAGAAACGUGUAGAGAUUGAAGUCAAAGAUCUUGACUUGGAGAAGCUUGGGGAUAGGAAGCCAGAAAGCCAGACCUCCAGAAAUAACUCACUUAGCUUGGUAGCUUGUACCAGAAUCCAGGCUCGGGAAUUUCUUUCCUCCCAUCCCUUUUAAACUGACCUCCUUUCUUACAAGAGAACCCAGUGUUGGGUCUGUGGCUUCAGAAACACUGCAGAGACUGACACUGGAACCUUGCAGCAGGGGCAGCAGAUGCUCUGGGGAGGAGGCUGGUGGUAGCUUGGGGAAGGUGUAUGUUGGGGUCACCAGUGGGGGGUUAGGAGCCAUCAGGCUGAUGAUACCCUUGGACCUGAGGUUUCUGCCAUAGCCUUGAACCAAGCUCUGUGUGUCUGCGUGUGUUCUUUUGGGAGGAGGUAGACUACACCUUUCAAAGUUUGUGAAAAAAUUUGCUCUGGGCCUUGGCAGAAACAGCAGAUGGUCUCACCUGCCUCUUUGAGCCCAAGUCAUAAUAUCUGUCCAGGAGUCAGGCAUAGUCAUGGGCAAGGAGCUGUCAGUUAUGUAUUUUGGCUAGAUUGGUUGGUUCAGCUACCAAAAAGGCAACUUGGUUCUUUGGGAAGCACAGCUCAUGAGGAAGGGAAGAAAACAGUUUUAAUUAUUAAAAGUAAGGAGGUCUUGCUGUGGUUCAGUGGAUUGAGAAUCUGACUGCAGCGGCUUGAAUAGCUGCAGAGGCACAGUUUCUAUACCCAGCCGGGUGCAGUGGGUUCAAGGAUCUGGCAUUGCUGCAGCUGCACUGUAGGUUGUAGCUGUGGUUUGGAUUCAGUCCCUGGCCCGGGAAUGUCCAUGUGUCACAGGCGUCCCUAUUAAAAAAAAAAA